rnacentral:rRNA from 1 species
GACGUAGGGCGCGAGCGUUGUCCGGAUUUAUUGGGCGUAAAGAGCUCGUAGGCGGCUUGUCGCGUCGAGUGUGAAAUCCUGCGGCUCAACUGCAGGCUUGCGGUCGAUACGGGCAGGCUAGAGUUCGGUAGGGGAGACUGGAAUUCCUGGUGUAGCGGUGAAAUGCGCAGAUAUCAGGAGGAACACCGGUGGCGAAGGCGGGUCUCUGGGCCGAUACUGACGCUGAGGAGCGAAAGCGUGGGGAGCGAACAGG